GGAGGGAGCUAGCGUUGUUCGGAAUUACUGGGCGUAAAGCGUACGUAGGCGGUUAUUCAAGUCAGAGGUGAAAGCCUGGAGCUCAACUCCAGAACUGCCUUUGAAACUAGAUAGCUAGAAUCUUGGAGAGGUGAGUGGAAUUCCGAGUGUAGAGGUGAAAUUCGUAGAUAUUCGGAAGAACACCAGUGGCGAAGGCGACUCACUGGACAAGUAUUGACGCUGAGGUACGAAAGCGUGGGGAGCAAACAGGAUUAGAUACCCUGGUAGUCCACGCCGUAAACGAUGAUGACUAGCUGUUCGGGCUCUACGAGCUUGAGUGGCGCAGCUAACGCAUUAAGUUAUCCGCCUGGGGAGUACGGUCGCAAGAUUA
rnacentral:rRNA from 1 species